UCCGAAGGUGAACCUGCGGAGGGAUCAUUACUGAG
rnacentral:rRNA from 1 species